CUCUGCAGGAGGAGAUCUGCAUGACCUCAAGGACAGCACACCCCAGGGUGGCAGCCCCUGGAAAGCCCAGCAGGAGAGCCGUCAGCGGAGGGAUGUCAUGGGAGCCAGUGGCAUCCCUAGCAACCUGCACUCUCCCAGGUCCCAGCCAGAUCGCCAGCUCAGCCAAGCAGGAGAAAAUGGCUCCCUGGAACCCUGAAAUAAUAAACAAACCAUCAGAUACUGCUUUGGAUUCCCACUGACGGUGAGAAAGAGAAGCAAGCUCAAGCAAAUCAUCAGUGCUAAUGAUAAGGGUGGUGCCAACCAAAGGAGAAAGAAGCCUCCACACUUGGCUGAUAAUUGCUGAGGACUAAACUCUGAUUUUUUUUUUUUAUCUUGCCCAAAUUCCUAUCUAAGGGGUCUGGGGAGUCAUGCCCUACAAACCAUAAAUUCUCAUCAGAUGGGUUUUAUUUGACCCUGUAUAUUGUGACUUACUUUCCAAUCUGACUGUGGCAUAACAAGGAAGAAAAUCAAAAUGUUUUACCCCAAAAUAUAUUUCCUUGCCAUACCUUAAAAUUGCCCUGCAAAGUCUCUUGUGGGAAAAAUCCACAUCCUAUAGAGAAUCUCGUUUCCCCUUUGUUUCCUUCUCUCCUUUCCAGAUCCAGGAGAUAAUCAACUAGCCUGAUAAGAAACAUUUUACAACCUGCUCUCUCUCUAAAGUCUGCUGAGACAUUCCUCUGCACAAUAAAACUUGGUCUCCACAAUCCUUUAUCUUAACCUGAGCAUUUCCUUUACCCCAGGUCUUCAGAUAAACUCAACCAAUUGUCAACCGGAAAAUGUUUACAUUUACCGAUCGCCUGAACCCCCUCGGCCCCACCCCCCACCACCUCCCCCUCCCCCGCCCUGCCCCACUUUGAGUUGUCCCACCUUUCUGAACCAAACCAAUGUAUUUCUUAAAUGUAUUUGAUUGAUGUCUCAUGCCUUCCUAAGUGUAUAAAACCAAGCUGCACCCUGACCACCAUGGGCAAAUGUUCUCAGGACCUCCUGAGGGCUGUGUCACGGGCCAUCGUCACUCAUAUUUGGCUCAGAAUAAAUCUCUUC
rnacentral:lncRNA from 1 species